rnacentral:lncRNA from 1 species
CUGCAAAUGCUUUUGGCCACUUUGCAAAAUAACCUAAGAUCCUGGGAAUACCAACACAUUGGUAAUUACGGGAAAGUUAGCUUCGCUUUUCUUCCUCUAUGGUAAUUAGUUGGUUCCCACACACCCAUCCAUUGCUAAAGAUGUCAGUGGCUAAAAGGUAUGAAAUUAAAAUGUCAUAAAAACUGUUUGACAAGAACUUCCUGCCUCUUUGUACCUUCUAAAGAACUUUUCUCUUAUUCCAACUAUUAAAAUUCCCAGAUCAGGCUGUCCAAUAGAAUUGUCUGCAAUGAGGGAAAUACUCAGUAUCUAUGCUAUCUGUAUGGUAGACACUAGGCACAUGUUGACUAUUGAGCACUUGAAAGGUAUCUAGUGUGACUGAGGAACUGAAUUUUAAUAUUAUUUAAUUAUAAAUAACUUAAAUUUAAAUAGACAUGUGUGCCUAAUGGCUGUCUAUUAGUGCAAUUCUGUUAGGUUAAAUAUUCAAUUUGUAAUUUAUUCUCUUAUUACUAACUACAAGAUGCCACUUAUGAUGCAUCACUUAUGGUAGUCUAGAUUGAUUCUGCAGGACAUGGCUGAAGGAAAAACAACUGUAAGAUUCUUAAAACAUUUAAAGCCACUAUCUAAAAAGGAGACGAUUGAGGAGAGGGUGUACCUCAAGUGAAAUGAAAACAAAAUGGACUCUAGAUUCUGCAAAGAAAAAGAGAAGUUAGUUAUAAUUAUAGUCUCUCCCUUGGGUUUACAUUAAGUUCAAGGUUAAAUCAUCUAGAAUCUUUUAGUUUUUCUUUAAUCGAACUACUCAAACGUGAUUGCAUCUCCCCUACGCAAUGGUUCAUUUGGGAUUUAGGAUGAGAAGGAAUGCUUCUGGGCAAGGAUCUUCCCAAAUGGAUGUCUCCCCAGAGAUGAAAGGAUCUUUGGCUAUGUCGUCUUCCUAAUCAAUUUUCAAAUGCUUUCUAGUUCUCCCACAAUGAUGUUAAAGAUUAAAUGGCUAAGCUUAAUAUGCAAAAGAUAUGGCUAAACUGGGCAGCUAUUCAGUUCUUUAAGGCUACUUAACUCUUUUCUAUCAACUGUACAUGGGUUGCACAUAAAUACCAACACUUAGCUGUGGUCAAGGGAAGAGAUGCUUCCCCCAGCCUUCAGAAAAUGGCAGCCAAAUCUUUUCAGUUAUGAAGUGAAAGUGGCUGUGUGUCACUGCCUUCUACUAAAAUUGAAGAAAUGGUAACUCAUCUUGCUUGGACUAUUGUUUGGCUGUGGUGACUGUUUAGAAGACUAACCACUCUUAUAACACCUAGACCAUUGUUUGAACAUCUUCCAAUAAAUUAUCAAUUCAUUCAAUUAACA